GAGUUGCGAACGGGUGAGUAACGCGUAGGUAACCUGCCUGGUAGCGGGGGAUAACUAUUGGAAACGAUAGCUAAUACCGCAUAAUAGUUUAUGACUCAUGUUAUAAACUUGAAAGAUACAACUGUAUCACUACCAGAUGGACCUGCGUUGUAUUAGCUAGUAGGUAGGGUAACGGCCUACCUAGGCGACGAUACAUAGCCGACCUGAGAGGGUGAUCGGCCACACUGGGACUGAGACACGGCCCAGACUCC
rnacentral:rRNA from 1 species